rnacentral:misc_RNA from 1 species
GAUGAAGAACGCAGUGAAAUGCGAUAAGUAAUGUGAAUUGCAGAAUUCAGUGAAUCAUCGAAUCUUUGAACGCACCUUGCGCUCUUUGGUAUUCCGAAGAGCAUGCCUGUUUGAGUGUCAUGAAAAUAUCAACCUUGACUUGGGUUUUGUGCUCUAGUCUCGGCUUGGAAUUGGGUGCUUGCCGCUUUUACGAGCGGCUCACCUUAAAUGUAUUAGCUGGAUCUGUCUUUGAGACUUGGUUUGACUUGGCGUAAUAAGUAUUUCGCUAAGGACAUUCUUCGGAGUGGCCUCGUUUCUAGGACGCUUGUCCGCUUUCCAAUACAAGUUCCACCUCGUGGACAUGACUUUUUAUUAUCUGGCCUCAAAUCAGGUAGGACUACCCGCUGAACUUAAGCAUAUUCAAUAAGCGGAGGA